GAUUAGAGAUCUGGACUUUGGAGGAAAUGGUGAGUUCAUUAAGGUUUGGUAAAAGCGACGACGGUUGGAAGUGGAAAGCAAAUAACUCAUGUAUCUUCUCAGUUAAAUCAGAUAGUAGGGUUAUUACAGACAUCAUAUAUGGGUCGGGUCAUAAGUUGACUGGCUUAAGUAGCUUUGAUCAUAUGAUUAUGGAGGUUUACUAAGUACAUUGAAGAAUAUAUGAUUGAACAUGCACAAAUUGAUGGUUUACUUGGAUUCUCACAGAUUAUGGCAUUGACGAGAAGGCUUAUUCACCCCCAAUCCAGUGUCCAUCUCUCCCGUUUUAGCGUAAUCUGGAUGAAUUCGAUACGGAGGUGACCAUUGCAAACACUACAUCAUCCUUUUGAUUUCUGGUUUCUCGCCAACAACGAUUGCUCAACACCAGCAGGCACAUGCUCUCUUCUUGCAAAUCAAAUACAAAAUUUUCCCCACCUAACUUAUCUAAUCCCAUUUUUUGUUUCUGAUGUCUUAGAUAAAUGGAGGUCAAAUGAUGCAGACACCUGCUAACGAUUCCAUGUCCAAGAAAUAAAGAUACCUACAAUCUCAAUUGACUCUGUCUAUAGUCUACACGAUCUUGAUGAAUUUUGGUAACGAUUAGGGCUCAAAAGUUCCACAUUUGAAGGCUAGCAAACCUUUUUGAGUGCCAAAUUGUUGACUGGAGUGUUUGUAAGACUGCUGGUAGUUUGAGGGUGAGGGCGUAUGUGCCAACAUUCUUCAGAAAGACAAGUUUCAAUUUGAGGUUGGGGAGACAUCUAGAAAUGCUACACAAGCUUUUGGGGAAGGAUCUAAUACCAUGAAGGUUACCAAGAAACCAUGCCUUGAAGAAGCAGUCCGAGCCAGGUGUAAGAUUGUGUUCAAUCCUAUAAGAUAAUGUUAAAACUCAAAUUGGUUAUUACAUUUGUAUAUGUUAUCAGGGGUACCUGUUAAAACAUACUCAACGAGAGCUACACCAAAAGACAUCAUUAUCAAUGGUUAGUGCUUGCAUCUCUGUUUUUUGUAUUUUUUUUCGGUAUGAAUUGAGUCUGACAAAAGGGGCAAUUUUGGGUGAUGGGUUAAAACGGGUCCGAGUCGUAACAGUUUAUGAGCAUAAUGGGUUCGGGUCAAGGUGGGUUGUUUUAAAAAAUCCAUCUGCUUGGUUUUGGCCAAAAUUGUUUGGGCCGAAAUGAAUUAUUUUCAUAAUGACUGAUUCGUCAAUCCCACUGGCUAUAUAUUUUAUAUUAUUUUAAAACUGUAAUUUUACACAUGUGAAUUGUUACUUUUGCCUUUUUAUGUUUUCUUAACCAUUUGGCAUGAAAUCAUUGUAGAAAAGGUAGUGGUUUCUCAAUGGGAAUCUUUAAAUGUUAUGGAGUUUCCAGGUAUGUAAUUAAUUAUUUUGUCCGAAAGGGAGCAACUAUGUAUACUUCAACACACUUAAUUACUUUGUCCGAAAGG